rnacentral:lncRNA from 1 species
UUCAAUACUAAAGAGCUCCCAAGAGUUUUGGUGCAAGAUGCCACCCAUCAAAUUAUUUACUCAAACCAGUUUUUGGUAUUCAACUGUUGAACAAGUGACAAAAAAUAUUUAACCAUGCUGACAUUGACAAUCUCAUAAGCAAAUUAAUUGUGAUUUUGUUUUGUUUACUUACUUGGAUAUAUAUGCCUAUACGUUCUGUUUCACCAAUAUUUCACAGGCUGCAAAGAACGUGUUUAGUGAUGGUAAAUGUAUAUUUGACAUCUGCAGUCUGCAAAGAAGGUGUUUAGUGAUGGUAUAUAUGGAUUUGACAUCCUAUGCGAUCGAUUUGAACGUGACGUAUUACGUUUGGCAUCAACCUAGGAUUGAGUUCCUUUUCCUCAUGCAUUCAGUCUCUAUUUUUCUUGUCAAUUUCCAGAAUUCUAAAUUUAUUUGAUUGAGGUAUGAAACUAAAUUCUUCUCCAUGUUUUGUUGUGGCGUAGUUGAAUGCAGAUGCUUACACUUUUGAUUAUAUAUUUGCAAGUCUACCAUAAAUAUGACGAUCCAUCCUGGUUGAAAUUUCACAAUUGAUUGUCUGUUAACUUGACAAUGCUCAAGUACAGGUUCAAAGUUUAUCCUGAGCUGGAACCUAGAAAUCCCCUUCCACAAUCAUCUGCUUGUUCACCCUAGGUUUAAUAUUUCUUUUGUCUUUCUUCUUUUUGUUAUUGGUUGGUAUGUGCAGCUUAUUUUUUGAUUGAAUUUUGCACUCACCCACUUAAGUGUUUAUGGAUCUGUAUCCUACUUUCUUAGCAGACUCAUGCUAGGUAUUCAAAGUUCUGUGUUUAUCCCUUUAGCUUAUCAAACCUUGAAGAGGUGGAUAAUAGCUAAACAUUUGUAUGCAAAAAUCACGCUUUUUCCCGUGUUAUUGAAGUAAUAUUUUUUUCUCCCUAGUUUCAUUGCUUAAACCAUCAUUUUUGAGUUAGUAGGAAAGAAUCCAUGAGGAUUUCCAAGUAUCGUUCAGUUGUAGGCACUAUUGAGCCGUAGUGUUUUAUGGUGGUGGGGAUAUGAGCAACAAUCCCAUUUCCGGUCUAAUUUUAAUUUUAAUAUGGUACAAUUGAUGAUAUAUAAUUAUGAUUAGGAAAGCCUAGAUAUGGUUGUUGUAUACACUUGGUAUUAUAUUACACAUAUUUUAUACAAAUCUACAUAAUAAGUUAGCUCAUUUUUUUGAAAAUUUCCAUGACAUUCAAUGGCUCCGAUGAGUUUUCCUGGCAAAGACGGCCAAUAUAUGCCUUUACCUUUCACCAAAUGACUAGGAAAAUCAAGGGCUCUGAUUGAUUUUGUCCUUAAUGCACAAUGAGGAUUGUUUUUUAACUUUCAGCCCACCAAAAUGUGUCUAUUCUGUUUUAGUUUAAGAGAAGAUUUGUGGAGAUGUUUCAACCCUUAAAUGGUGUUGUCAACCCAUUAGCCGCCUGAUCAAUUCUUAACGUAUACACAAAAUCCAGGACUAGGAACUCUGUUCCCUCGUAGCGUCUCUACCUUGCGAUGGAGUGGCUCUACGAUGAAGCUAGGGCUCACAACGUCUCUGUCUCUGCGAUGAAGCUAGGGCUUAAUCCAACAAUCAACUUCUCUUGAAAAUCAAGGCCUUCGCCCCUCUCACCGGACCACUAUUACCGUGAUGAGUAAGGACACUCUCCCCCUUUUUAUGAUUUUUCGAAAGGGUAUCUUCACGCUAUCCUCUAUUUCAGAAAUCCAUUGUCUUCAUCAAUCCCUUUUCCUUCAAUAAAUGAUUUGAUUUUUCUUUUGGAUUUUGUUUUGCCAGGCGUUUCUUGUGUGACAUUUUAAUUUUGAAGGUCAGGUUCUCUUUCUCUCUCUUUCAUAAAUCUAUGAUAAAAUAUGGUUAUGUUUAAUUGGUUAUGGAUUCAAUUUCUGUGCUAUCAGAAAAAUGGUUGAAGGUGUGAAAAGUGGUUGUCUAACCAUUGAAACAUUUGGUUUUUAGGUCAAAGGGGGGAAUUCUUGAGAUAGUGUUGGAUUAUGUUGCAACUCAUCAAAGAGAUCUCCAGCACCAUCAAAUUGCCCAGCUCAACUACACUCUGUAAUCAGUUUCUCCUCUUGCUGCCUUUUUUGGGGUACAUAAAGUUAUGAUCAUUUUUUUUUUUUACUUUCUUCAUGUUGUGUUUGCGAUUAUGGUUUGCGAAUUUAACUUGCAAUACUCAUUUGGGUGUUUGGGCUUCAUUUAAAUUCAAGGAUUGUUAUAUUUGAAAUUUGGUGCUAAUAGAUACUAUUAAAUUUGAGAAGGACCUGGCUUAUUUGGAUUUUAGAGAAUUGUAGAGACAAUAAGUGUGAGUCUCUUGCUAGGUUGUAUUUGAAACAGGUGGAUCACAUAAAUUUUAGGUUGAGCAACUCAUUUUUUAAAACAAGAAUUCCAAUGCAGUAAGAGAAACAUUAUCAUACAUGUUUCAAUGCUUGGAAGUAGGUGGGUUUUAACAUUUUAGGUGAGCUUACUUUUUUCCUCAUACUUUUCCUUAUUUUUCUGUAGCACCUAGUUUCUCUUCCAUCGAGGUGCAAUUCAAGCAUUUUGGGUCCUAUUUUUAGCCUAUUUUGAUGAUCUAAACCAUUCAACUC